rnacentral:rRNA from 1 species
ACGGAGGGGGCUAGCGUUGUUCGGAAUUACUGGGCGUAAAGCGCACGUAGGCGGCUUUGUAAGUUAGAGGUGAAAGCCCGGGGCUCAACUCCGGAAUUGCCUUUAAGACUGCAUCGCUAGAAUUGUGGAGAGGUAAGUGGAAUUCCGAGUGUAGAGGUGAAAUUCGUAGAUAUUCGGAAGAACACCAGUGGCGAAGGCGGCUCACUGGCCCGUUACCGACGCUCAGGCGCGACAGCGUGGGGAGCAAACAGGA